rnacentral:rRNA from 1 species
AUACAGAGGGUGCGAGCGUUAAUCGGAUUUACUGGGCGUAAAGCGCGCGUAGGUGGCUAAUUAAGUCAAAUGUGAAAUCCCCGAGCUUAACUUGGGAAUUGCAUUCGAUACUGGUUGGCUAGAGUAUGGGAGAGGAUGGUAGAAUUCCAGGUGUAGCGGUGAAAUGCGUAGAGAUCUGGAGGAAUACCGAUGGCGAAGGCAGCCAUCUGGCCUAAUACUGACACUGAGGUGCGAAAGCAUGGGGAGCAAACAGGAUUAGAUACCCUGGUAGUCCAUGCCGUAAACGAUGUCUACUAGCCGUUGGGGGAUUUGAUCAUUUAGUGGCGCAGCUAACGCGAUAAGUAGACCGCCUGGGGAGUACGGUCGCAAGACUAAAACUCAAAUGAAUUGACGGGG